GACGAACCGUGCGAACGUUAUUCGGAAUCAUUGGGCUUAAAGGGUGCGUAGGCGGGCUCGUGAGUCAGGGGUGAAAUCCCACGGCCCAACCGUGGAAGUGCCUCUGAUACCGCGGGCCUCGAGGGGGAUAGGGGCGUGCGGAACUUCCGGUGGAGCGGUGAAAUUCGUAGAUAUUCGGAAGAACACCAGUGGCGAAGGCGGCUCACUGGACCGGCAUUGACGCUGAGGUGCGAAAGCGUGGGGAGCAAACAGG
rnacentral:rRNA from 1 species